AAUCAACGCUGGCGGCGUGCCUAACACAUGCAAGUCGAACGCGAAAGCCCCGCAAGGGGUGAGUAGAGUGGCAAACGGGUGAGUAACACGUGGGUGACCUGCCCUCGAGCGGGGGAUAACGUCCCGAAAGGGACGCUAAUACCGCAUGACAUCCGACCUUUGAAGGGGUGGAGAUCAAAGCUGGGGAUCGCAAGACCUAGCGCUCGAAGAGGGGCCCGCGUCCGAUUAGCUAGUUGGUGGGGUAACGGCUCACCAAGGCAACGAUCGGUAGCCGGCCUGAGAGGGCGGACGGCCACACUGGGACUGAGACACGGCCCAGACUCCUACGGGAGGCAGCAGUGGGGAAUUGUUCGCAAUGGGCGCAAGCCUGACGACGCAACGCCGCGUGGAGGAUGAAGAUCUUCGGGUCGUAAACUCCUUUCGAUCGAGACGAAUUCCCUUGGGGUGAACAAUCCCGAGGGUUGACGGUA
rnacentral:rRNA from 1 species